rnacentral:rRNA from 1 species
CCUACGGGGGGCAGCAGUGGGGAAUAUUGGGCAAUGGGCGCAAGCCUGACCCAGCAACGCCGCGUGAAGGAAGAAGGCUUUCGGGUUGUAAACUUCUUUUCUCAGGGACGAAGCAAGUGACGGUACCUGAGGAAUAAGCCACGGCUAACUACGUGCCAGCAGCCGCGGUAAUACGUAGGUGGCAAGCGUUAUCCGGAUUUACUGGGUGUAAAGGGCGUGUAGGCGGGGACGCAAGUCAGAUGUGAAAACCACGGGCUCAACCUGUGGCCUGCAUUUGAAACUGUGUUUCUUGAGUACUGGAGAGGCAGACGGAAUGCCUAGUGUAGCGGUGAAAUGCGUAGAUAUUAGGAGGAACACCGGCGGCGAAGGCGGCCUGCUGGACCGUAACUGACGUUGAGGCUCGAAAGCGUGGGGAGCAAACAGGAUUAGAUACCCGGGUAGUC